rnacentral:rRNA from 1 species
AUUGAACGCUGGCGGCAUGCUUUACACAUGCAAGUCGAACGGCAGCGCGGGCUUCGGCCUGGCGGCGAGUGGCGAACGGGUGAGUAAUACAUCGGAACGUGCCCAGUAGUGGGGGAUAGCUCGGCGAAAGCCGGAUUAAUACCGCAUACGACCUGAGGGUGAAAGCGGGGGAUCUUCGGACCUCGCGCUAUUGGAGCGGUCGAUGGCAGAUUAGCUAGUUGGUGGGGUAAAGGCCUACCAAGGCGACGAUCUGUAGCUGGUCUGAGAGGACGACCAGCCACACUGGGACUGAGACACGGCCCAGACUCCUACGGGAGGCAGCAGCGGGGAAUUUUGGACAAUGGGCGAAAGCCUGAUCCAGCAAUGCCGCGUGUGUGAUGAAGGCCUUCGGGUUGUAAAGCACUUUUGGCGGGAACGAAAAGGACUGUGCCAAUACCACGGUUCGAUGACGGUACCCGCAGAAUAAGCACCGGCUAACUACGUG